rnacentral:tRNA from 1 species
GGAUUGUGGCUCAGCGGUAGAGUGCUCCCUUGGCACGGGUGGGCCCCGGGUUUGAUCCUCAGCACCA